rnacentral:rRNA from 1 species
UGGUGGAGCGAUUUGUCUGGUCAAUUCCGAUAACGAACGAGUCUCUAGCCUACUAAAUAGUUCGGGGACCCCCACAAAGGGGCCCCGCUCCAACUUCUUAGAGGGACAGGUGGCGUUUAGCCACACGAGAUUGAGCAAUAUCA